rnacentral:pre_miRNA from 15 species
AACCGUUCGUCGUAUCGAGUGCUUGCCGUAUGGAAGACUAGUGAUUUUGUUGUUUGGUCUCUGCUAAUAACAAUAAAUCCCUUGUCUUCUUAUGGCUCGCAUUGAGCUCUUCAUUUCAAAUC